rnacentral:tRNA from 1 species
GCUGAUAUAGCACAGGUGGUAGUGCGUCGCAUUGGUAAUGCGGAGGUCUCGGGUCCGAGUCCCGAUAUCAGCU